CAACCGUCGUAAAACAAGCCUCGUGCCAUAUACUGACGAUCAAACGUGAAAUAUUUCUCACGUCUAAAAGUAAACAAGAGCCAUGUGUUCGGAUAACAAGAACAAUUAAACAUUUACUUCGUCUAAAAGUAUUAAGUUUAGAAAUCAUGAAUCUUGUGAUCGGAUAGCGAGGUUCUUAUCCAUUUGCAGAGGAUGUGGCAAUUCCUUUCUCUACCUCCUGCGCCAUAGGAUUAUACCAAGGAGACUCGCCACCACCUUCUUUGGUUUCGUUGACAAAAACAACACUCACUGAAAGUUUCAAUUUCAACACAGUGGUGGAAGCGAAGGCGAAAGCCAAGGCUAAGGCUUGAUUUUUGCAAGAUAAAUAAUGUGAGAUGCGGUUCUUGAUUUUUACGGGAUCUUUUGAGGUGGUUGGCGAAGCGGAUUUGUGGCGGGACGACGCUGAUCUGUUUGGCCGCUGCUGUUGGUUCUUGAUCAUUGGAGAUGGGGCUAGGAUUUGAGUCCAGUUCUCAUAGAUCUACCUAAGGAAUUCUGGAGUUGUGGGAGCAUUAUGUUGAGGAAUUAGAGGAUAAUACAUGAAUUGAUUUUUGUAUUGGCUUGCCUUUUAUUUUAGAUUUUUGUACUAGCUCGAUGAGAUUUAGCAAUAAUUGGUA